GGGAGGCAGCAGUAGGGAAUUUUUCACAAUGGACGAAAGUCUGAUGAAGCAAUGCCGCGUGAGUGAUGACGGCCUUCGGGUUGUAAAGUUGUGUUGUAAGGGAAGAAAAAAUAAAGUAGGAAAUGACUUUAUCUUGACAGUACCUUACCAGAAACCACGGCUAACUAUGUGCCAGCAGCCGCGGUAAUACAUAGGUGGGCAAGCGUUAUCCGGAUUUAUUGGGCGUAUAGGGUGCGUAGGCGGUUUUGCAAGUUUGAGGUUAAAGUCCGGAGCUCAACUCCGGUUCGCCUUGAAAACUGUGUUACUAGAAUGCAAGAGAGGUAAGCGGAAUUCCAUGUGUAGCGGUGAAAUGCGUGGAUAUAUGGAAGAACACCUGUGGCGAAAGCGGCUUACUGGCUUGUUAUUGACGCUG
rnacentral:rRNA from 1 species